rnacentral:lncRNA from 1 species
CCCAAAGCAAUCAGUUAUUUUGCCAGUUGACUAUUUUCAGGUGCAAUUAUACUGAUUCUUCUGGUUCUAUUAAUGUGUGUUCUCCACUUUGAGAGGACUUUAACUGUACACAAGUAGAAAUCUCUUGAGCAGGAGCUCCUCUCUAUCCUGAUUAUGUGCUGGAAAACAGAGUUUAGAGUCUGCAUCCUUCACAAUCCUACUCCAACAAUCACAGACAAUUUUUCUGAGGGGCUGUAAAGACAAUAAGCAAAUAUCCAAGCUUUUAACUUCCAACAUUGGGAUUAACUCCUCCAGCUCCCAAAUUCCUCAAAUCACAAAGCAAUGAAAGCUUGAUCUUCUGUGAAUUAAAAUACACCCUCUCCACAUGAAAAGGCAUGUUUGUGAUGUCACAGAACAUGGAGGGUGCCCCAGACCAGGAAGUCAGGAAGAAAACUGAGUCUUUUCUUUCACACCUUUGUUUCAGCCACAAGUACUCUCUCAGAAGACCGAAUUUUGAAGCAGAUGGCCAGGACAGGAUCUGUGUGCUGCUUGUUCCUGGAAACAAGAGCUGACUCCCUUGUCACCUUGGAGCCUCCUGCACCAACAUCCCACACAAACCCAUCAGCCCUCUCCCAAACAUCAGGGAUCUGUAUUCCAGGCAGAGCUCAAAUGCACCAUUUGGCAUUACCAAGAGCUCCAAACCCUCCCAGGUGUUCUACAACAAACGAGCCUGUGAUUUCCUUGCAGCUACUGAGUGACUUGAAAUUCAGCAGCAUGAUGUGCUUGCAUCCACCCAACAGCCUCCAAACACUCUUUAUGGCUGUCAGGGAUCCAGGCACCAAGAGAAAACAUCACCUCAAUACUCAGAUCCUUCUAAUUCCAAAGCACCAGAAGUCAGGAGGACUGGAAUCAUGACCUUCAACAGCAUCAUAACAUUUAGGGCCCUGACAUGAAUUUUACUAUCAAAGAAGUAACCAAGGGAGGUUUGCUGGGAGCAGACCCGGAUGGAAGCAGCAUCAGCCUCAAGUGCUUCCACCCACAGACUCCCACCUAACGCUCGUCAGGCAGCUCCAAGCACUCCGAGUUUCCAAGAUGUCAUCUGGAACAUCAAAUACAGCAGCAAUUCCUGUGGCUCACUAGCAAGUCAUCCCUGUUUCGGACAACAUUUUUGGAAUGUGCUGCCCACAGUACAUUGAAUUUCCUAAGUUAUGCCUGGAAAUCAGGAUGUUUUGUCCCAGUAAGUGGACACUGUUUAAUAAGACCCCUUCUGCAACAAUGGGUUUGCACUCGCUGUGACAGAGCUCCAUUUAACCAGGGCUGUGGAAUUCUGGGGGAUAUCUGCACUGCCUCAACUCUGCUGGCCUCUGGAAAAAGCCAUUCCUCAACAAACAUAGCUUUGUAACUUUGGAGAGGCCUGGGUUUGGGCUUAUUUUAAUGGCACAGCUUUUAUCCAGUAAGGACCUGACCUUCACCAUGUAAAUGAGAAAUCUGUAUUUGCUGCAAAUGCUCUGAUGUUCCACAUCCCCUGUUCUGCUCCAAGAAACCUUAUUUAAAGCCUUUGGUAAAAAGAAAAGGUAUUUUGGGGCUAGACUAACUUUUGUUGGAUCCAGUGAUGUCACCUCCUUCCAGAUAAAGCCCAGGUUUGAAGCUCACCAUGCUCAUGAUCACAUGGCAGGUCAGGCACAACACCCAGUCACAUCCAGGAUCCUGAUCCCUGCUGUGGGGUGGGGAAAGGAAACAAGAGUCCCAACUCCCUUUGUGCCACCUCAGAGCUUCGCCCCAGUAUUUUCAAUAUCUCACCAUUACAAAGUCCAAAAAGUACGAAUAUGG